rnacentral:rRNA from 1 species
GAUGAACGCUGGCGGCGUGCCUAAUACAUGCAAGUCGAGCGAAUGGAUUAAGAGCUUGCUCUUAUGAAGUUAGCGGCGGACGGGUGAGUAACACGUGGGUAACCUGCCCAUAAGACUAGGAUAACUCCGGGAAACCGGGGCUAAUACCGGAUAACAUUUUGAACCGCAUGGUUCGAAAUUGAAAGGCGGCUUCGGCUGUCACUUAUGGAUGGACCCGCGUCGCAUUAGCUAGUUGGUGAGGUAACGGCUCACCAAGGCAACGAUGCGUAGCCGGCCUGAGAGGGUGACCGGCCACACUGGGACUGUGACACGGCCCAGACUCCUACGGGAGGCAGCAGUAGGGAAUCUUCCGCAAUGGACGAAAGUCUGACGGAGCAACGCCGCGUGAGUGAUGAAGGCUUUCGGGUCGUAAAACUCUGUUGUUAGGGAAGAACAAGUGCUAGUUGAAUAAGCUGGCACCUUGACGGUACCUAACCAGAAAGCCACGGCUAACUACGUGCCAGCAGCCGCAGUAA